rnacentral:rRNA from 1 species
GAUGAACGCUAGCUACAGGCUUAACACAUGCAAGUCGAGGGGCAGCAUGGUCUUAGCUUGCUAAGGCCGAUGGCGACCGGCGCACGGGUGAGUAACACGUAUCCAACCUGCCGUCUACUCUUGGACAGCCUUCUGAAAGGAAGAUUAAUACAAGAUGGCAUCAUGAGUCCACAUGUUCACAUGAUUAAAGGUAUUCCGGUAGACGAUGGGGAUGCGUUCCAUUAGAUAGUAGGCGGGGUAAUGGCCCACCUAGUCUUCGAUGGAUAGGGGUUCUGAGAGGAAGGUCCCCCACAUUGGAACUGAGACACGGUCCAAACUCCUACGGGAGGCAGCAGUGAGGAAUAUUGGUCAAUGGGCGAGAGCCUGAACCAGCCAAGUAGCGUGAAGGAUGACUGCCCUAUGGGUUGUAAACUUCUUUUAUAAAGGAAUAAAGUCGGGUAUGCAUACCCGUUUGCAUGUACUUUAUGAAUAAGGAUCGGCUAACUCCGUGCCAGCAGCCGCGGUAAUACGGAGGAUCCGAGCGUUAUCCGGAUUUAUUGGGUUUAAAGGGAGCGUAGAUGGAUGUUUAAGUCAGUUGUGAAAGUUUGCGGCUCAACCGUAAAAUUGCAGUUGAUACUGGAUAUCUUGAGUGCAGUUGAGGCAGGCGGAAUUCGUGGUGUAGCGGUGAAAUGCUUAGAUAUCACGAAGAACUCCGAUUGCGAAGGCAGCCUGCUAAGCUGCAACUGACAUUGAGGCUCGAAAGUGUGGGUAUCAAACAGGAUUAGAUACCCUGGUAGUCCACACGGUAAACGAUGAAUACUCGCUGUUUGCGAUAUACAGCAAGCGGCCAAGCGAAAGCGUUAAGUAUUCCACCUGGGGAGUACGCCGGCAACGGUGAAACUCAAAGGAAUUGACGGGGGCCCGCACAAGCGGAGGAACAUGUGGUUUAAUUCGAUGAUACGCGAGGAACCUUACCCGGGCUUAAAUUGCAGAUGAAUUACGGUGAAAGCCGUAAGCCGCAAGGCAUCUGUGAAGGUGCUGCAUGGUUGUCGUCAGCUCGUGCCGUGAGGUGUCGGCUUAAGUGCCAUAACGAGCGCAACCCUUGUUGUCAGUUACUAACAGGUUCCGCUGAGGACUCUGACAAGACUGCCAUCGUAAGAUGUGAGGAAGGUGGGGAUGACGUCAAAUCAGCACGGCCCUUACGUCCGGGGCUACACACGUAUUACAAUGGGGGGUACAGAGGGCCGCUACCACGCGAGUGGAUGCCAAUCCCAAAAACCUCUCUCAGUUCGGACUGGAGUCUGCAACCCGACUCCACGAAGCUGGAUUCGCUAGUAAUCGCGCAUCAGCCACGGCGCGGUGAAUACGUUCCCGGGCCU